rnacentral:lncRNA from 14 species
CACCCGGGCCCCCGGGAUGUGCUGUCAUAUCCCGGGAAUGUGCUUCCUGGACACGCUGCAUCCACCUCCCUCUUGCCCAUCCUGCAGGGACAGCCUCCCUCGCUGCUCUGGCCAAGGCUGCUCCAUGGGGAGGCACAGCCUCAUGCUGGGGACCAGGGGAGCACAGAAGGACCAACACCAAAGGGCAAGACCUCCUUUUCACUGUGUUUUGGAGGAGCACAGCUGCCUGCAGCUGCAGCAAAGAGGCUGGGUCUCACUCAAUAUGGUUUGGAGGCUGCAGAGCUGCAUAGCAUCAUCUAUCACAGGUGUACACUUGAUACACUAAUUUUUCUCCAGGGAAAGAACUCACUUUCAUGGCGGAUGGGAAUGCUGACCCACUUGCCUUCUGCUGCAAGCA